AUUGCUGAGGUCUUUCUUUUUAUUUUACCAUCGGUUUCAGGGGAUAUAUACCUCCAGAGUGUUUUGAAAGCAGCAUUAUAUCAAUGAUGAACAAUGUGUACGCUUUUGGAGUCACUGUCAUUAAUACCAUUAGCAUUAUGUGCAGAAAUAUACAGCCUUACGAGCGCCUUUUAUGUGCAUGGGCUUGGGACGCUUGGGAAGCUAGACAAAUGGAGGAGGUGUUUGAUCCAAAGCUGUAUGAAGGGUCUCAGCUAAGGGAGAUUAAAAGGUGCGUGAAGGUGGGACUAUUGUGCCUUCAGAGUGAUCGGGCAGACCGGCCCACCAUGGCAGAUGUUCUUGAGAUGCUACAUGGCAAGAAACGGCUGCCGAUACUAAAGAAACCUGCAUACAUGGAAUCGGAAUCGGACAUUGAAUCGGUUACAGAAGGAUCAUGCAACAGUGUGGACUGAAGACGAAAGACUUUUACAGCAGUAGACACUUCAAGUGUCUCUGUAUGGCAAGAAAUUAUGAAGAUACACAGGAAAAUGAUUGAUUCAGAAGAUGAGGUUAUUGCAGACUUGGCAAUACUGAAAUGAGUUCGUUGAAUGUUGAAGCUGAAAGCACAUGGCAAGGGGACAUGACAUACAUAUGUAGCUCUACUGUACAGUCAGCAUUCCAAACAAACAUCAGUACUGAAUUAUUCAGUGAUUCAGUCCAUUCUACAGAACUAGACAUCCUUUUGCAU